rnacentral:rRNA from 1 species
UACGUAGGGUGCAAGCGUUGUCCGGAAUUAUUGGGCGUAAAGGGCUCGUAGGCGGUUUGUCGCGUCGGGAGUGAAAACCUUGGGCUUAACUCAGGGCUUGCUUUCGAUACGGGCAGACUAGAGGUAUGCAGGGGAGAACGGAAUUCCUGGUGUAGCGGUGAAAUGCGCAGAUAUCAGGAGGAACACCGGUGGCGAAGGCGGCUUUCUGGACAGACACCGACGCUGAGGCACGAAAGCUAGGGGAGCAAACAGG